CCAUUGGUGGUUUAGUGGUAAAACUCUUGCCUCCCACACAGGAGACCUGGGUCUGACUCCCGGCCAACGCA
rfam:Danio rerio chromosome 4, GRCz11 reference primary assembly.